CCGGAUCCCGGCGAUGCCCCGCCCCUACCUUCUUCCUCACUCUCGGCGCCGCCCGACUCCCAACCUCCCAGGAUCCCGGCGAUGCCCCACCCUCACCUCCUCCCUCGCCCCCGGCGCCGCCCGAGCCCCAACCUCCUUGGAUCCCAGCAUCACUCCACCACCACCUCCUACAUCCCACAGCAGCGGCCGCCCAUGCCGCCUGCGCGUGCCUCCGUCCUCCUCCAGGCACCGGCAGCGCGCCCCACCCCACGCCGCCUGCCACGUGGGCACCUGCCCCAAAUCGCUGGCUCAUUGGCUUUCUAGGCUGCCGCUAGCUUGUUCUUCCUCUGGCCACCGCCAGCUCGCCGUCCGUUCAUCUUCGCCACUUACUGAAGCUUGUUCUAUUCUGCUUGUUUUUAGAGGAAAAGAGAUGGUUCUUCACUGUCUUGCUCGUGUAUGCCAAUGAUGUGACGCGGUUCAGCUGCUUGUGCGUUUGCACUAAUGAUAAUUCAGUCGUGUUUGCUUGUCUAUGUGGCCAUGGAUGCACCCAGCGAAGGACAACGAUGGGCAAAAAAAUGAUAGUGCAGCUGCUUGCCUCCUCUUCAUAUUCCAUACGAGAAAACAUCAUUUGCCCCUUUAUUUUCUUCAGUAAGUUUUCAUUAAAAGACCUGAGAAUAGUAAGUAGAAGUUUGACACAAGGACCUACAUCAAUUCAACUGCAGAAAGAGAACAAGUCCAUGAGAUUAUUAUUAAAUUCAAGAUUACUAUAUGGUCCAUGUACAUAUUUAACAGCAAGUCCAUGAACUACUAUAUGAUAAGUACGAAAAAUACUGCUGGUGAGAGUUCAUUUAAAUACCUUGUAGUGUUUUUUUCAGUACACACUAUAGGAUUUUAUUUAGUUCAAUGAAUUCCAAAUAGAAAAAAACUGCGGCUGUGUAAUGAUUCUUGAAUUUACGUUUCUUCUUGCACUUUGCUAUAUGGAGCAAAAGUGGUACAGUGAUGAUUCAGCUUGGGUGGGCUCUCAAAGUCGGAGACAUAAUAACCAGUUAUUUAGACCUUUCAAUCACACGAUCACUUGCAGAUAUCCUCUGCUUUUCUUUACACCAAUUAUUUGUGAAAAGUUCAAAUUAUAAAAGCAGAUAAGUCCAGGGUUCACCGGCGGAAGUUUGAGAAAAAAGAUAUAAAAGAAAAGGAGAGUUCGGAAAAUGCGCUAGUAUUGGUUGCUGUUGUCUGCUGUUGCAUGAAGCCCCUACUGCUUGCAUUGGUGCGCUGCUAUUGUUUGUUGGUUCAGCAGGGUGAUGUGAGUGUGUGAGAGAGAUAGCAAAAUGGAAUGAUCUUCUACAUUGACUAAAUCAUGGCACACUCAGUUCAAUUUCUUGAUUUAGUCCAAUUCAAUUCCUAAUUGUGUUUUAGUUCAAAGACUGCUAUCUCUCCCAGUUUCUAUGUUUAAUUACAAAGUCCAUGUACAUUAACAACAAAUAAGUUCAAGUAUAUCAAUAAAUGGAAGUUCAGGUAUAUGGAAUUUGAUGCUUGUUGGGUGUAUACAGGAGUAUAAAUGGAUUUUCUUCUUGUUGAAUGAAGUUGAACUUGUUGUUAUGCUUCUGAACUUCUACCUCUUUCCCGCAGUUCAAUGGAUUCCAAAAAGGAAAAAACUAUGGAUGGGUGAGAAAUCAACUUCCUGUACAGUUCUGCCAUGAGCAUUGCACGACCCCGACCACCGGCACCACUGCUUCCCGACCUCUUGCUUGCAUCGCCAUCUCCCGGUGGGGCUCUGCCGCCGGAGCACCCUAGCCGUUCACAGCCACCACUCCAGGCCGUUGAAAUAAAUCAAGCAGUGUUUUGUCGACAACAUGGUGGCGGCCUGAGGGAGUCCUGGAUUAGGGGGUGUCCGGAUAGCCGGACUACCAUCAUCAGCCGAACUAUCAUCGGCCGGACUAUCAUCAUCGACCGGACUCCAAGACUAUGAAGAU